UGGGGAAUUUUUGGACAAUGGGGCGAAAGCCUGAUCCAGCAAUGCCGCGUGUGUGAAGAAGGCCUUCGGGUUGUAAAGCACUUUUGUCCGGAAAGAAAUCCUUGGCUCUAAUACAGUCGGGGGAUGACGGUACCGGAAGAAUAAGCACCGGCUAACUACGUGCCAGCAGCCGCGGUAAUACGUAGGGUGCAAGCGUUAAUCGGAAUUACUGGGCGUAAAGCGUGCGCAGGCGGUUUGCUAAGACCGAUGUGAAAUCCCCGGGCUCAACCUGGGAACUGCAUUGGUGACUGGCAGGCUAGAGUAUGGCAGAGGGGGGUUAGAAUUCCACGUGUAGCAGUGAAAUGCGUAGAGAUGUGGAGGAAUACCGAUGGCGAAGGCAGCCCCCCUGGGCCAAUACUGACGCUCAUGCACGAAAGCGUGGGGAGCAAACAGGAUUAGAUACCCCUGGUAGUCCACGCCCUAAACGAUGUCAACUAGUUGUUGGGGGAUUCAUUUCCUUAGUAACGUAGCUAACGCGUGAAGUUGACCGCCUGGGGGAGUACGGUCGCAAGAUUAAAAC
rnacentral:rRNA from 1 species